CAAAGAGUAGUUUAAAAAAAAUAUAAGCUUUGGGAGCUUGUGAUAUAGAAAUCUAUUUCUUUGA
rnacentral:tRNA from 1 species